CAAUCCCAAUUUCUAAAAGAAAUCCAAGAGAGAGAGAGAGGAUGUAUGGAAAUCUAAUGGCUAUCCACCGAGCCUUAAAACGAUAGAAUACCGCUAACUUCAAAGAAAAGCUGACUGCCCAGCGAGGCGAGUGAAUCGCACCUACCAGGAGUGCUUUGGGCCAUGCUAUUGGGGAUAUUCGUGCCUUCCACAUCCUAAAUAAGCGCGUCGAUGAUUGUUAUUCUUAAGGUGAUCGGCUGAAAAUAUGGAACAGAUCACGGCGACGACAGCUCAGCACUCGCAGAUUUACUGCCCGUCGCACUGUACUCGAUUCAUGUGCUGACACGUCACACAAUAACAAAGGAUUAUCUAAAAAUUUAUAUUUAUCUAAAUUAAAAUAAACGAGCAAUUUCAAUCUUUUGAAAAGUUAAAAAAUUGUAAAAGAAAGAAAAUACGAAACAAGUAGCGAGUACGGAGAUUUACAUACUUCGGCGAGUCAGCUUUUAGUUGUGUUCUUGGCAAUUUCUUUCUCGCAGUUUCUCCGAUGCUUUGAAACAAAAAGAAGAGUCUUUGCUUCUCUUCUUUUGAACAAGAUCCUUUCCUUUCAAUUUGAUCCUCUCUCGUUUCAAUCACUGCAUCGCUCUCUUUCUCUGUUUCGAUUUGAAUGAAUAAUCAUUUGUUGAAUCGUUGAAUUCCUGUUUGGAAAUUCUGAUGAAGUGUUUUUCGCUCCGUUGAAGAAUGCCGUCGAAGAGAAGAAAGGAGGAGUAAACGGAAAAGAAAACAGAUAAACUAGAAUGCGAACGCUUUGUGACGUCUGCGAGAGCGCCGCCGCGAUCCUUUUCUGCGCCGCCGACGAGGCCGCUCUUUGCCGCUCCUGCGACGAAAAGGUUCACAUGUGUAACAAGCUUGCAAGUAGACAUGUGAGAGUUGGGUUAGCGGACCCCAGCGAUGUUCCACGCUGUGAUAUAUGUGAAAAUGCACCUGCUUUUUUUUACUGUGAAGUAGAUGGUAGUUCCCUUUGCCUGCAAUGUGAUAUGAUUGUACAUGUUGGAGGCAAAAGGACCCAUGAGAGAUAUCUCUUGUUGAGGCAAAGAGUUGAGUUUCCAGGGGAUAAGCCUGGUCGUUUGGAGGAACUGGGGUUGCAACCACAUGAUGAAAAUGAAGUAAGGAAGGAUCAGAAUCAGCAACCUAAGCUUGCGGUGAGAGAGAACCGGCAAAAUCAUAGAGUCUCUCCUGUUCCAGUGCUUGAUGGUAAUGCUGAUGGGGAUGGAAAAGUGGGGAAUAAAUUGAUUGAUCUAAAUGCCAAGCCCCAAAGGAUGCAUGGGCAAGCUUCAACCAAUCAGGAGCAAGCCAUGGAUGUUUCGAGUGGCAAUAAUCAUGACUCUGCAAGUGUGGUCCCUGUUGGAUCCUUCGAAAGAGAGCCUGAAAACUGAGUGCCAAGUAUACAUCUUCGUGCGAUUAAAUUUCUUGAACAUUGUUGCUGGUGAUCAGAAAGACAAGUUGACAUCAAAUUUUAAGUGAAAAAUAUACGAAUAACUGAGGGGGAAAAUGUUCACUUUGACAGCUUCUUAGUACACGUAGCCUUUGACAAACAUUCCUUUCUUGGCCUCCUCUGAUUCUCCUUCACCAGCAUAUUUGCCGAGCUGAGCUAGUGAGUUGGCCUUGGCACGGACAAGAAGUGUAUCUUGAGCAGCCUUAACGUUCUCGGGUCUGCCUCCCCAUGUCUUCAAGCAAGUGUUCUGGAGAGCUCUGGCGUAAGAGAACGAGAUGUGCCAUGGGUUGGGAGAUUGGUUCAUUGCGUUCAAGUUGAGGGUUGCUUCAACCUCAGAUUGCCCACCAGACAAGAACUGCUCAACAGAAAUGGUUCAACGAUUAGUACUAGAUUCACCAAUUUACACAAGCAAUUCUGAGAUCAACAAUGUUUGUACA